rnacentral:rRNA from 1 species
UGGGGAAUUUUGGACAAUGGGCGCAAGCCUGAUCCAGCCAUGCCGCGUGCGGGAAGAAGGCCUUCGGGUUGUAAACCGCUUUUGUCAGGGAAGAAAUCUUCUGAGUUAAUACCUCGGGAGGAUGACGGUACCUGAAGAAUAAGCACCGGCUAACUACGUGCCAGCAGCCGCGGUAAUACGUAGGGUGCAAGCGUUAAUCGGAAUUACUGGGCGUAAAGCGUGCGCAGGCGGUUUUGUAAGACAGAGGUGAAAUCCCCGGGCUCAACCUGGGAACUGCCUUUGUGACUGCAAGGCUUGAGUGCGGCAGAGGGGGGAUGGAAUUCCGCGUGUAGCAGUGAAAUGCGUAGAUAUGCGGAGGAACACCGAUGGCGAAGGCAAUCCCCUGGGCCUGCACUGACGCUCAUGCACGAAAGCGUGGGGAGCAAACAGGAUUAGAUAGCCCUGGUAGUCCACGCCCUAAACGAUGUCAACUGGUUGUUGGGAAGGUU